UUUUAACGGCCGCGGUAUUCUAACCGUGCAAAGGUAGCGUAAUCACUUGUCUUCUAAAUAGAGACCAGUAUGAACGGCUAAAUGAAGACAAGCCUGUCUCUUACAACCUAUCAGUGAAACUGAUCUCCAAGUCCAAAAGCUUGGAUAUUAACAUAAGACGAGAAGACCCUGUGGAGCUUAAAACCUAAUACUAACAAAACCUAACAUUGUAAUAAAACUAGUAUAAAUUUUAAGUUGGGGCGACUUCGGAACAAAACAGAACUUCCAAGCACAGAACCACUACUUCUAACCAAGGCCAACAAGCCAAAGCAAAAACUGACCCAGUAAUACUGAUCAACGAACCAAGUUACCCCAGGGAUAACAGCGCCAUCUUCUUCAAGAGUCCAUAUCGACAAGAAGGUUUACGACCUCGAUGUUGGAUCAGGACACCCAAAUGGUGCAGCCGCUAUUAAAGGUUCGUUUGUUCAACGAUUAAUAGUCCU
rnacentral:rRNA from 1 species